rnacentral:rRNA from 1 species
UACGUAGGGACCGAGCGUUGUCCGGAAUCAUUGGGCGUAAAGAGCGCGUAGGCGGUCCGGUAAGUCCGCUCUGAAAGUCCGGGGCUCAACCCCGGGAGGCGGGCGGAUACUGUCGGGCUAGAGUCCGGAAGAGGCGAGUGGAAUUCCUGGUGUAGCGGUGAAAUGCGCAGAUAUCAGGAGGAACACCAAUGGCGAAGGCAGCUCGCUGGGACGGUACUGACGCUGAGGCGCGAAAGCGUGGGGAGCAAACAGG